rnacentral:rRNA from 1 species
UGGGGAAUAUUGCACAAUGGGCGCAAGCCUGAUGCAGCCAUGCCGCGUGUAUGAAGAAGGCCUUCGGGUUGUAAAGUACUUUCAGCGGGGAGGAAGGCGAUAAGGUUAAUAACCUUGUCGAUUGACGUUACCCGCAGAAGAAGCACCGGCUAACUCCGUGCCAGCAGCCGCGGGAAUACGGAGGGUGCAAGCGUUAAUCGGCAUUACUGGGCGUAAAGCGCACGCAGGCGGUCUGUCAAGUCGGAUGUGAAAUCCCCGGGCUCAACCUGGGAACUGCAUUCGAAACUGGCAGGCUAGAGUCUUGUAGAGGGGGGUAGAAUUCCAGGUGUAGCGGUGAAAUGCGUAGAGAUCUGGAGGAAUACCGGUGGCGAAGGCGGCCCCCUGGACAAAGACUGACGCUCAGGUGCGAAAGCGUGGGGAGCAAACA